rnacentral:ncRNA from 1 species
UAUGUAUUGUGAUAUGAAUAUAAUUUCACCAGGUGAGAAUAAUAUUCGGAAAGACUGGGAUCAAAUUGUUUUCUAUGCAGUGCGUUUGGAUAAAUUCUAACCUGCCUCCCGGUGCCCCCUGAAUGCCCUUAGCUGGGUGUCCGGUCACCUCUGGGCCCGGAGCGUUUACUUUGAAAAAAUUAUAGCGUUCAAAGCAGGCCGUCCAGCCACUGCUGAAUAGCGCAGCUAGGAAUAAUGGAAUAGGACUCUGGUUCUAUUUUGUAGAUUUCUGAAACCCGGGCCAUGAUUGAGAGGGAUGGCCAGGGGCAUUCGUAUUACAAAGCUAGAGAUGAAAUUCUUGGACCGGCGCAAGAUAGACAAAAGCAAGAAUGAAAAUAAUAGUAGAAAUACCUGAUCAUCAUGUA